GCUGCUAGCUGGUUUAAUUAUUAGAGUGAAUAGAUCCGCUGUUAUCACCCUAAUAUCAAAACCAGCGGCGCAAAUUAUUGUCACGACCGAUCGGAAAUGUGCCAUUUCGCCGCUAUUUUCAGCCGUAUCUGCACGUACGGCUGCGGCGUAAAAACCUAAUUUAAAUAUACGAGUAGAAAUUGAAAUCGGACCAUAUAUCCUAGGUGUAGCGUACCCCGGCGAUGGCGCUCAUAAAGCUUGUAAGUGACGAGUGAAAUAUUUUGAAAAUUAAAAGAGGACGAGAGUUUAUUGUACACGGAUAGACAAUAAUAAUACAUAUUAAAUAUUGCACUGUCAGAAAUAGAAAACGUGGAUAGGUGCUGACUUGCUGUUAUCAUUAUAACUGAUAUUUGUUGAUUUUAUUUGACUUUGUGCUGUUAUUUGUAAUUAGUUUUUGUAAAUUUUAAAAUACCGAGUAUAGGUGCACAUUUCUUUUGAUACAAGGCUCAUCGUAAGUUUUACUAGGCGGUAAAAUAUAUGUUUUAUGGUGUAAAACUCUUUUUGAUCCGCGACCACCAAAUUAAUUUAUA